AAUCUUUCAGUGGUCUGAAUUUAGUCAUUGAAUACAGGACUAUUUUUCCAGUCAUAUUUCUUCAUUGAAGUUUUCUAUAAAAUAGUUUUAAAGUCUCAUUUCAACCUUGUGAACCCAAUCUGGUGUCUCGUCUCCUGAGCUGGGCGUCU